rnacentral:rRNA from 1 species
UACGUAGGGCGCAAGCGUUAUCCGGAAUUAUUGGGCGUAAAGAGCUCGUAGGCGGUUUGUCGCGUCUGCCGUGAAAGUCCGGGGGCUCAACUCCGGAUCUGCGGUGGGUACGGGCAGACUAGAGUGAUGUAGGGGAGACUGGAAUUCCUGGUGUAGCGGUGAAAUGCGCAGAUAUCAGGAGGAACACCGAUGGCGAAGGCAGGUCUCUGGGCAUUAACUGACGCUGAGGAGCGAAAGCAUGGGGGAGCGAACAGGAU